rnacentral:lncRNA from 1 species
AACGCAGCGUCCAUUGUGAGAUGCCGCAGUUCCAUGCAGUCAGAAGAUGGCUCCAGCGCGUUAAUUUUGCUCCUGUUUCUAGCAUGAGAUUUAAGGGGCAAGAUGCACUUCAGUGCUAUUUUUCCUUUCCGAUUUUGCCGUCGUCUCAUUUGGUUCAAAACAUCAAACUGCAGCACAUAUGGAGUUGUAAAGGGUCCAUUAAUAUAGAUGUUCUAGUCACCAGCUAAUGCAGAUGGAAAGGGAAAUACAGGGCCACAGAAGGAGAUUGAAAAGCACCGGCCUAAGCAACUUUGGAAAAUGGACACACCCAUAUUCACACCACCACAACCGAAGAAUAGAAUGUUUCUAUCACCCGGAAAAGUUCCCUCAUUCCCUUUUGCAGCCAGUCACCCUCAUUCAACCCCUGGCUCCCAGCAACCACUGAUCUAAUUUGAGUCACCAUAGAUUAUUUUGCUUAUUUUGGAAUUUCAUCUCAGGGAACCAUACUGUAUGCAUUCUUUCAUGUCUGGCUUCUUUUGAUUAGUUUGUUUUUUUGUUUGUUUGUUUGUUUAGACUCAUCCAAGUUGUUAAGUAGUGGCUAAUCUUAUAUUUUAUUUAUUUUUAUCGCUGAGUAAUAUCUCCUUAUAUGAAUAUAUUAAUAUGUCAACAUUUAAUAAUGCAUUCACUUUUUGUGGGUGUUUAAAUUGUUUCCAAUCUGGGGCAAUUUGAACAAAUAUGCUAUGAACACUUUUGUACAUGUCU